rnacentral:hammerhead_ribozyme from 1 species
AUCCACGUGUCGAGUCCCAAAUAGGACGAAACGCGCAUCCUGGAU